UUUCGUAUAUUACUCAUAAAUAAUUUUUGUUUGGACUGAAGAGAGCGCUUUUGGCUCUCUGCGAACUCUUCAUUUCGAGUACAAAGGUUUUCUGAUUUAAAAAAGAAAAAACAUUUGCACUCGAGGUGGUGACAGCUUUCUUCGCAAGAUAGCUAGCUAGUUUAAGCUCUUCCGUCGCAACGAAGCCAGGAGAAAUGGGGAGGUACGCUCAUGUUUUCUUCGUUCCUUUAUUCCUCCUCUUCUUGUGCUGUUUCUCCUCCUUCUUUGUUUAUGGUUUGGC
rnacentral:lncRNA from 1 species